GUUCAAAAGUGAAAGACGGUCUUGCUGUCACUUAUAGAUGGAUCCGCGCUGCAUUAGCUAGUUGGUAAGGUAACGGCUUACCAAGGCAACGAUGCAUAGCCGACCUGAGAGGGUGAUCGGCCACACUGGAACUGAGACACGGUCCAGACUCCUACGGGAGGCAGCAGUAGGGAAUCUUCCGCAAUGGGCGAAAGCCUGACGGAGCAACGCCGCGUGAGUGAUGAAGGUCUUCGGAUCGUAAAACUCUGUUAUUAGGGAAGAACAUAUGUGUAAGUAACUGUGCACAUCUUGACGGUACCUAAUCAGAAAGCCACGGCUAACUACGUGCCAGCAGCCGCGGUAAUACGUAGGUGGCAAGCGUUAUCCGGAAUUAUUGGGCGUAAAGCGCGCGUAGGCGGUUUUUUAAGUCUGAUGUGAAAGCCCACGGCUCAACCGUGGAGGGUCAUUGGAAACUGGAAAACUUGAGUGCAGAAGAGGAAAGUGGAAUUCCAUGUGUAGCGGUGAAAUGCGCAGAGAUAUGGAGGAACACCAGUGGCGAAGGCGACUUUCUGGUCUGUAACUGACGCUGAUGUGCGAAAGCGUGGGGAUCAAACAGGAUUAGAUACCCUGGUAGUCCACGCCGUAAACGAUGAGUGCUAAGUGUUAGGGGGUUUCCGCCCCUUAGUGCUGCAGCUAACGCAUUAAGCACUCCGCCUGGGGAGUACGACCGCAAGGUUGAAACUCAAAGGAAUUGACGGGGACCCGCACAAGCGGUGGAGCAUGUGGUUUAAUUCGAAGCAACGCGAAGAACCUUACCAAAUCUUGACAUCCUUUGACAACUCUAGAGAUAGAGCCUUCCCCUUCGGGGGACAAAGUGACAGGUGGUGCAUGGUUGUCGUCAGCUCGUGUCGUGAGAUGUUGGGUUAAGUCCCGCAACGAGCGCAACCCUUAAGCUUAGUUGCCAUCAUUAAGUUGGGCACUCUAAGUUGACUGCCGGUGACAAACCGGAGGAAGGUGGGGAUGACGUCAAAUCAUCAUGCCCCUUAUGAUUUGGGCUACACACGUGCUACAAUGGACAAUACAAAGGGCAGCGAAACCGCGAGGUCAAGCAAAUCCCAUAAAGUUGUUCUCAGUUCGGAUUGUAGUCUGCAACUCGACUACAUG
rnacentral:rRNA from 1 species